GAUCCGUGGCUCAGGACGAACGCUGGCGGCGUGCCUAACACAUGCAAGUCGAGCGAGGAGAUUCCUUCGGGAUGAUCCUAGCGGCGGACGGGUGAGUAACACGUGGGCAACCUGCCUCAUAGAGAGGAAUAGCCUUCCGAAAGGGAGAUUAAUACCUCAUAACAUUGCAGUUUCGCAUGGAACAGCAAUUAAAGGAGUAAUCCGCUAUGAGAUGGGCCCGCGGCGCAUUAGCUAGUUGGUGAGGUAACGGCUCACCAAGGCGACGAUGCGUAGCCGACCUGAGAGGGUGAUCGGCCACAUUGGGACUGAGACACGGCCCAGACUCCUACGGGAGGCAGCAGUGGGGAAUAUUGCACAAUGGGGGAAACCCUGAUGCCAGCAACGCCGCGUGAGUGAUGACGGCCUUCGGGUUGUAAAGCUCUGUCUUCAGGGACGAUAAUGACGGUACCUGAGGAGGAAGCCACGGCUAACUACGUGCCAGCCGCCGC
rnacentral:rRNA from 1 species